CUCCGGGACACGCUAAACGAACGGAGCCGGUUGGGCUCGUGCGCUAGGAGACCGGUAAACCCACGGCCGCCGAGGCGCGCGCCUGGCUGGAAGCCGUCACCGAAACGCAGUGAAUCCCCUUCGCUACGUGAACAGGUCCACCUGGGGUGUCCCCCACUUCUGGAAGAUGAUCUGAGCAACCUCUGGAUGGCGGGACCACUUGUGGCAAGAGAAGAAAGACUUGCUGAGACCCAGUGCAUGGCAGGUGGCUUGCACUACCGCGAUGCUAUGUUGAACUUGUGCCUUCGAGUGACCCUUGAUGAGCCAAUCGUCGAGGUACAGGUUUUGUUCAGCAUUUCCUGCUCUAAACAGCUUGAAGCCAACCUGCAACAACGGCACUACUGUGGUUGAUGAGCAUACUUGGCUUAUGUCAACCUAAUUAUGUCAGUGUCUAUACUACAGCCUUCCUACCACCAAUGGAUUAAAAUCUCACAAAAUAUUUUGUACAGUUCACAUGACAGACAGAGGAGUACAGGACCAAUUUACUGGGGGCGGG